rnacentral:rRNA from 1 species
UACAGAGGUGACAAACGUUGUCCGGAAUUAUUGGGCGUAAAGGGCGCGUAGGUGGUUGAGUAAGUCAGGUGUGAAAGCUCUGGGCUUAACCCAGGAAUUGCAUCUGAUACUGCUCGGCUUGAGUACGGUAGAGGAGGGUGGAAUUCCCAGUGUAGCGGUGAAAUGCGUAGAUAUUAGGAAGAACACCGGUGGCGAAGGCGGCCCACUGGCUCGACACUGACGCUGAGGUGCGAAAGCGUGGGGAGCAAACAGG